rnacentral:rRNA from 1 species
UACGUAGGUGGCAAGCGUUGUCCGGAUUUAUUGGGUUUAAAGGGUGCGUAGGCGGUCUUAUAAGUCAGUGCUGAAAUAUCCCGGCUUAACCGGGAGGGUGGCAUUGAUACUGUAGGACUUGAGUAGAGUUGAGGUUGGCGGAAUUGACGGUGUAGCGGUGAAAUGCUUAGAUAUCGUCAAGAACACCGAUUGCGAAGGCAGCUAACUAAGCUUUAACUGACGCUGAGGCACGAAAGUGUGGGGAUCAAACAGG